UUGACGCGUAUCACAACAAAAAAAGGGCGCACUUUGGUGCGCCCUUUUCUCAGCUU
rnacentral:sRNA from 1 species